ACCUACGGGGCGCAGCAGUGGGGAAUAUUGCACAAUGGGCGAAAGCCUGAUGCAGCAACGCCGCGUGAAGGAAGAAGGCCUUCGGGUCGUAAACUUCUGUCCUUGGGGAAGAAGAACUGACGGUACCCAAGGAGGAAGCCCCGGCUAACUACGUGCCAGCAGCCGCGGUAAUACGUAGGGGGCAAGCGUUAUCCGGAAUUAUUGGGCGUAAAGGGCGUGUAGGCGGGAAUGCAAGUCAGAUGUGAAAACUAUGGGCUCAACCCAUAGCCUGCCUUUGAAACUGUAUUUCUUGAGUGCUGGACAGG
rnacentral:rRNA from 1 species